CUAUACUACACAGUGGCUAUACUACACAGUGGCUAUACUACACAGUGGCUAUACUACACAGUGACUAUACUACACAGUGGCUAUACUACACAGUGGCUAUACUGCACAGUGGCUAUACUGCACAGUGGCUAUACUACACAGUGGCUAUACUACACAGUGGCUAUACUACACAGUGACUAUACUGCACAGUGGCUAUACUGCACAGUGGCUAUACUGCACAGUGGCUAUACUACACAGUGGCUAUACUACACAGUGGCUAUACUGCACAGUGGCUAUACUACACAGUGGCUAUACUACACAGUGGCUAUACUGCACAGUGGCUAUACUACACAGUGGCUAUACUACACAGUGGCUAUACUACACAGUGGCUAUACUGCACAGUGGCUAUACUACACACUGACUAUACACACAGUGACUAUACCGCACAGUGACUAUACUACACAGUGGCUAUACUACACAGUGGCUAUACUACACAGUGACAAUACUACACAGUGGCUAUACUACACAUUGGCUAUGCUAUACUGCACAGUGGCUAUACUACACAGUGGCUAUACUACACAGUGGAAAUACUACACAUUGGCUAUGCUAUACUGCACAGUGGCUAUACUACACAGUGGCUAUACUACGUAGUGGCUAUACUACACAGUGGCUAUACCACACAGUGGAAAUACUACACAGUGGAAAUACUACGUAGUGGCUAUACUACACAGUGGCUAUACUACGUAGUGGCUAUACUACACAGUGGCUAUACUACACAGUGGAAAUACUACGUAGUGGCUAUACUACACAGUGGCUAUACCACACAGUGGCUAUACUACACAGUGGAAAUACUACGUAGUGGCUGUACUACACAGUGGCUAUACUACACAGUGGAAAUACUACACAUUGGCUAUGCUAUACUGCACAGUGGCUAUACUACACAGUGGCUAUACUACACAGUGGAUAUACUACACAGUGGCAAUACUUGUCCAGACACACACACACACACAUACAAACACACACACACACACGUGGGUGCACUUGGCUUAUAUCCAGCACUCUUCAUCAUUGACGAAGGUCAGUGUUGGAGGGACGUUAGUGUAGCUGGGAUGAGAGGAGGAGGAAAGGAGUGGAACACAAGGCCAUAUCAGGCUGCUGUGCUUCUGGAGGAGGAGAUAAGAGCAGUGUACGGUGAGGAGCCUGUUCAGUCAGCAGGUUCACAGAGAUACGGCUCCCUCCCUCUCCUCAUCCCCAUCCCGGACAGACAGACAAACGGGGCUGCUGCUGCUGUUUUAAACGCUGACCUUCAGAGGACAGCGAGCGGAGCAGAGAGGAGCGGAGCACCACAGCGCCCUGCGGGACACCAGUCUCCCCCUCUCCCCUGAGUAAUGACAGGAGGGAUCCUUGUGUCACACACAUACAGACAGACACACACACACACACAUACACACACACACUCUCUCACACACAUACACACACACAAACCCCUGAGUAAUGCCAGGAGGGAUCAGGAGACUGGGAUCUGUAGAUCAGAGGGUCACACAGCAGGGUUCUGUCAGCUCCCCAUCACUCAGAGCAAUGAGGCGAGGCUUGAUAGUCAUCCAGCAGUCAUUCCGUAGGUUAGCUACCUGUCUGUUACCUCAGAUACCUUUAUUUCCUGUACAAACUAGGUGUCAUUCCACAGGUUAGCUGUCUGUCUGUUACCUCAGGUGUCGUUCCGUAGGUUAGCUACCUGUCUGUUACCUCAGAUACCUUUAUUUCCUGUACAAACUAGGUGUCAUUCCAUAGGUUAGCUGUCUGUCUGAUACCUCAGGUGUCGUUCCGUAGGUUAGCUACCUGUCUGUUACCUCAGAUACCUUUAUUUCCUGUACAAACUAGGUGUCAUUCCAUAGGUUAGCUGUCUGUCUGUUACCUCAGGUGUCGUUCCGUAGGUUAGCUACCUGUCUGUUACCUCAGAUACCUUUAUUUCCUGUACAAACUAGGUGUCAUUCCAUAGGUUAGCUGUCUGUCUGUUACCUCAGGUGUCAUUCCAUAGGUUAGCUGUCUGUCUGUUACCUCAGGUGUCAUUCCAUAGGUUAGCUGUCUGUCUGUUAC